rnacentral:tRNA from 1 species
GGGCGAGUGGCGGAACUGGCAGACGCGCACGACUCAAAAUCGUGUGGAGUAACAUCCAUGAGGGUUCGACUCCCUCCCCGCCCACCA